CCGAAUCAACGCCGUUUUAUUAUUUAUUUUCUAUUUAUUCGCAUACGCGCCCGCAAAGGCCCGAAUGCGCAUCGCACGAUUGAUGAGAUUAUUAUUAUUGUUUUGCUCGAUAUUUUUCGCGGCGCGAGAACCGUUCGCACGGUCUCGGAGAAACGAUUGUAAACGGUCGCGGAGAUGAUCGGCGGGAAAAAAAAAACACCGCCGAUAUCGCAAUUCACGGACUCCUCGGAUUUUCUUGUCUUUUUUUUUUUUUUUUUUUCUUUCUCUCCAAAUAAUACCGCCGGUCACACGGUACCGUUGUAUUUUCUCGCCAAACGCCAUUUAUAUGUACGAACGGUUUUAUGUUAUACCGACGAGAGACGGACGAAAAACCGACAGAUUAUCGAGUCCGACGUUCCCACGACAAACGUGAUAUAUACGUAUGUGUGUGUAUAAGGCCCGGGUCACUUUUUUUUUUUUUUUAUUCUUUUUUUUACCCGUAAACGUUUUUCCCCUCCCGAUCUCACCGUCCGUUACGAUGUUAUACAUCACAGCGUCCGCCGUACAGUAUGCGUACCUACCGUGCAAUCGCUCGUACGUUCAGAAUUCGUUUUCUAUCUCCCACGCCUCCGUGUCCGCAGCGGCGAAAAUCCCGAUACGACAAUACAUUAGUUAAAAAAAAAAAAACACACACACAAACCCCGUAGAACAUCAGCAUUAUUACAGCGAGUGCGUGCGCGUGCGGUUUUUUUCAACACCAUUUACCUAAUGCCCGUGUAAAACAAUAAUAUUUAAUGUGGUUUUUUUUUUACCUCUAAUCGAUCGCCCCCCGCAGUUUUAAGUACCGUAGGUUUUUUUUUUUUACGUGAUACGACAUAAUAUAGGUACCUAUAUUUUCUAAUAUUCUUAUGUAUAUUAAUAUAAAUAAUAAUACCCUUGUAAUUUUUAUGACGAUAAAUUUCAUAAAAAAAAAAAAAAAAUAAAAAAAAAAAUAUAAAAAAAAUUGACAUUUGCCAUUUACGACGACACGAGUUGUUUUUGUGCCAUCUCCUCUCGACCAUACCCCCUCCCCACACCCUCUAACCACGUCCCCGCCACUCCUAGUAAAGAAAAAAAAAAAUAAAUAAAUAAAUAAACACAAUAAUAUAUUUUAUUAGAAAACGAUACCCCGUUAUGAAUACGAGUAUGUGUACACAGAGAAACGUAAAAUAAAUAUUAUCAACGGCACGAACACGCGAAACCGAAUAAAUAUCAUGAAUAAAUAAAUAAAUAACAAUUUUGUACAUAUUAAAUUGAUAAUUUGCGCGCCGUCAUCGCGUCAACACCGUCUGCAUUACAUUACGUUCGGACCGUGUAUAAAAUACUCAUACGCAUACAUACACACGAACCUACUCGCACAUUAUUAUAUACAGUCGUUAUACAUUUAUGUACCCAUAAUAUAAUAACAAUACCUAUAUAUGUAUAUAUAUAUAUGUAUGUAUACGUAUAUAUGUAUAUAUAUACGUAUAUGUAUAUAAAUAAAUUGAAAAUAAAUAAUAAAACUAUUUUGUAAAUACAUUAUAACAUUAUAUUUAAUUAUUAUUGUUGUGUCGUGAUUAAGUAUAUAUUAUUCAUAUUAUUAAAAUAUUUAAUAUGAUAUUAUGAAAUUUACGGAAAAGAAAAAAAUUAUAAAAAUAGGGUAUUUAUUUUUUAAGUGACGGAUAAAAUUUUAUUGCACGCGCGCAUCUAUACACGAGAAUCAUCGCCGCGCGUAAACAAUCCGGUCUGCCGUUUCGGUUCCGACGGAUAUUACGACGCAUUUGUGCGUUCGAAAACGGUAGUUUUAAAAGAAAAAAAAAAAAAGAAUUCCAAAUUCAUAACUCUCGAAUCAACAAAAUUUUACAUACAUACAUAUGUGCGUGUAUGCGUGCGCGCGUGUACGCGACAAAUCGUUUAGUGAUUAUUUUUAUUUUUAUUUUUUUUUUCCUGUUGCGUUUUUAGUUGUACAAAAAAAAAAAAAAAUAAUAAAUACGUUUUUGAUACGAAAUAAUGUUUCGUGACCGUCGCACACGCGCACCGUGUGUCGAUUAUAUUA